rnacentral:lncRNA from 1 species
UGUACAGCGAACUCGCCUCGUUUCGUCAACACGCUGCGGACGAGGGGGUGUGUCGUGCGUUGUGACGUAAAGGGGUGGGGAGCCCCACGGAUGGGUCACCUAAUCUGAUCUCAGCGAACUGGUGGAAAUCACGUCACUGGACAGCCCGGGCAUAUUCUGGGGCUGUUUGGUUCGCGUGGAAUACAACCCUACCAAAUGCUGACGACUUGCCAAUUUUUUUGUUAAGGAUUUUUUGGUCCUCAUUUUGUCAACUAUUUGAAAGAAUAUGUGAGAGAGGUGGGAUGAAUCAUAUUGGCAAUCAAAAUUUUGGCAAUGAAGCAAACAACAACCAAAUAACCAUAGGUUUCCAAAUUUUUGACAAGACUGGUUGGGGGCACAAACCAAACAGCCCUUUUGUUCCAGCCGAAUCCAGAGGCCUUGCAACCCAACAAUGCUUAGACGAGAUUUGAUCGCUUCUUUUUUUUGUUCUCUAUUUUUUGAAAUUGAUUUUCUUAUAAGUUGUCUGUAUUUUUUUUAAUCAAAUGUCAGUCAUCAAGAGUUUUCACCUCGGAAUUGUCUUAUUUGAACACUAUCGCCGCGAGAGUAAUGGUGUAGCUUAUACUUUAACUAGACAUACGAUUUGGCCUCAUCGCAUUGUUUGGCAUGAUGAUUGGCCAUAUUUUAUUUCAAGUUUGUUAGAGAAGAUGUAAGAUUGUCAUCCAAUCAAUAAAUCUGCCAUGAUCGAUGGCUUUCUUUCUCUCAAAAAAUAGAGUUUUCACCUAGGAAUUGAAUAGUUGUAUUGAUGUUUCAAUCCACACCCUAUAAGUCAGAUCAAGAUGUUUCACCCAUGUGGAUCAGAGCGGUGGUCGACCGACACGAUAAUACACUCACAUUGCUAGAUCAGAUGAGUGAGGACCAGACUGCCAAUUACAACAAGGCCACGAUAUAUCAUCUUCCACCUUGUCAAGACCCAUGCUCUAUAGAGAGAGAAACCCCUACGCCCAACGCGCUAACAAUGUCGGUUCCAAAAGAGGGCGCGAUCCGAUAGCAUUGGGGUCGCUAUCUCACGACACAACCAAUAUUAGGAAGCCGUCAUUGGUAUAAAUGCAACCUCACAUGCCAUAGAUUGAAUCAUCAAAAAAAGG